UGUAUAUAAGGAAUGUAAAAGAAGCAUUGGAUGAUUCGGAGAAAAAGCCAAUAGGCUAGAGUCUCCAUAUUAAUAAGAAAGAAAGAAGAAGCAUUGGAUACAUUUUGUCUCUUCGAAGACUUGGUGCUAGAAGGAUAAAACGACGACUGAGUGAAAAGGGAAGAGAAAAGUGAGAACUUGGACUGAAGACAACUAGUCUUAUUUGUUGUCUGCUUUUCUUUGUUUGUUCAAAACACGACACUCCACAAAAUGUUCUAGCAAUUUCCGGUAGGAUCUAACGCCAGCUCUGUCAAUGAAAAGCUGGCGGUUUUGGUGGUGGCUGCGGCCCAAGAAGAUGAAGUAUGAAGGGCGUUCUCCUUCCGCAAUCGAUGAAAAGAGGGUCUUUUCCCCCUUUGAGCGGGGAGAGGAACUCUCUUCCAUCGAUUGCGGAAGGGGUUCUUUCUU